GAAAGUUCUCGCUGUUUAAGACACUGUCGUUUCCAUUAUAUCGCGCAAGCGUGGAUUUCACGCGGUUUUUACAUCUUCAUUAUCCCCGUGUAUCGAAUAGAAAUCUCAAUAUUCAAUCUCUCGGAUCAACUUCGAUCGGAUCACCGUCGUUCCCGUGGAGUAUCUAAAAUUACUCCGGGGAAAGAAAAGUUUCUUCCAUUUCAAAUUCCAUUCCUCCCUGCUCCGCCGUCUCUCCUUUCAUCCCCUUUCACGACGACGGCUACCGAGGAGUAUCUCGCGAAAAAUUGUCCGGCAGCAUCCGAAGUUUAGCUCGAAAGCUAGCUAGUGAGGCGAGGGGAAAGUAAAACUGAGGGGGAGGAGCGGGAUAAAGGCGCGUCCGCCCGCCGCUUCACUCGCCACGCGACGAGGGGCGCGAGAGUUUCCGCUUUGCUACUUUCGUCAGUGCAUCGCAAACACCGGCGAAGAAAGAAAGAUAUCGCGGUGAAAAGAAGGAGCAGGAAGCGGGGCGGGGUGCGGAGGCGGGCGGGACGACGACUGGCUCGCUUCACAGGGCUAAAUCGCGGACUUUUUUCACGUGCUUACACGGAGAAAGCCCUGAAAUAUUAAGCGUGCAAUUACCAGACCCAUUCACCGUGAUGCAACGUUGAGACACGCGUCGGUAACGCACGGGGCGACGGGGACGACGAUGGGUGACGGAUAAAGAAAGGAAGAGAAAGAGAGAAGAGAGAGAGGGAGGGAGAAGGAGGCUGGUGCAAGGGAGAAGGAGAGGUGGAGAAGGGAGAGAAACCCUGUCCUCGGCUGGAAGUCGACGAAAGGACAGAGAGGUACAUAUACUCUGUUCCGUUUCGCUUUCUCCAUCCCCUUUUUCUCUACACGUCGAUUCAAUGCGAUGAUAAAAAGCGCGCUAGGCAAAAAAAUGAAAAGCUUUUUGAGUCCGUCGAGCUCGGAUGAAGCGCGCGGGCGAACCUGUGUGCCGUCGUCACAUUGUUUCGAGCUUCGUUCACGAUGCACCCCGCCACGUCCACCACCCCCGCGUCACGUCGCCAUCUUGUCGUUGCUGAGUCGUCGUUAAAAAAAAAAAAGAAAGGAGAAAAAGAACGAAAGGAAGAAAUAAUAAUCUCCGGCUAAUAAGUAUUAUUGGGACAACCGAGUUUUGAAUUUCUCUCGAAAAGAAUUCUCUGGAAAUUCCUUUCAACUCGCGUCAUUUGUAAUCGGAAUAGGAGGAAGAGACGAGGAUAAGGGAUGAUAUAAUCGAGACAAAGGGAAGCACGAGUGGAGAGAUUGAAAGAAUAAGGGAAUAAAUAAGUGCGAACGUUGGGGACGUUCAACAGGUACAGCGGCGAACUUUUUGAAUAUUCAUGAAAUGUCCAUUAAACGGGGUAUAAUUUGUUUUCUUUGUGGAACGCCCUUAUGCACGGGAGGGGGAGAGGGGGAGGCGUGAUCUAUUUCAGACGCUUGGUUUUAAAAUCUCGAAGGGAAAUAGGUCGGGGCGAGGCAACCCUCUCCUCCUCCUCCUCCUCCUCCUCACUCGAUACCGCGCGAGAUCCAGGGAAUUUGCAUUCUGGUCGAUGGAACUCUCCGGUAAGAUUUUGCACGUUGUUACGGGGUUGGGAAAGGCAAAGGAAUGGGUUGAAAAAUUUGCUGCGCGGUCGAUCGUAAAUCAUCGGUGUCGAAGCGUCGAAUAAGUUACGACUGCUGAAUCGAAAAUCCCGAUAAACUUGCAAUUACGUCCUGUGAAAAACGAUUUUUCCAGGCUAGGCCGCUUUUUGGUUAUAAUAUCCCCGACGUUGAUGCUAAUGGACCGGCUUCCACGAUCCUUUUCUCACGAAUUUUUAAGAUUUCAUUUCGUCGAAGAAGAUUUAUAACGUAACAACCCGUACAACAGAUAAUCGUCGAAUAUUUUAACACGAUUUCGAUCCAUACGCGUCUCUUGUACGAGUAUCAACACCACAGUUCCGAGAAGUCGAAUUAUCGAACACGUGUUAGCUACGAUAAACAAAUAUCGAGGAAGAUUAAACGGGAGACGACAAGCAACAAUGAGUAACGUUUCCAUAACAAAAACAGAAGUAAAAUCCAUGCCUAUCGUGCCACUGCUCGUUUCUCAGAACUGUAGAUAAAUAGCUAGCCGGUCGUAUCCAGAUAGAACCGGAUACAACGGAUGAAGUGUCGUCCCGAAAAUACGUGGCUCUCCUCAGUCAGAGCGAAACAGGCUACGCGCGAGCAACCGUGAUAAAGUGGGCACGGAGAAGCGACGAGGGAAGCGUAAAAGUGGUGCGCCGCCAUCCUCCCACGCUCGCUUAUACCCGCGUUCGCGUGUGUUCCACGCGGGGGUGGAGGAGGAGAGGAUCACGUACACCUAUACAUUAUCUAGCACCCAUUUUGGUGGCGUCGUGACGUGGUUUGCCCGAGUUUACGGGCCUGCUCCAUCACGCGAGUGCUUAGCUUAUCUCAAUGCGACACAACAUAUCUGCAAGCUCUCCCAGAGAGAAACCAGCGACAGGUGGCAGCCAUGCCAACGAUCCACGGUCAAACGACACUCUGGAUUUAGAAAGUCGAAGAUCAACCCGAUUUAUAUCCGUUUCGAGAGGAACACAGUGAUCUACGCCAUCAAGAAUUAAUUCAAUUUCGUACGAUUACGUCAUCGACCUUCAACUCAAGAUAGGAUGAACAAGAAUUCUUCACAUCUACAGUGAAUUGAUUAAUCGAAGGGUACGGCGAUAAUAUCUGUAGUGGCACGAAUAGAAAUUUGUCACUCGCUGUCUUCUCCGCUCGAUUCCUCUUCCGCGAUUUCGUUACCGAGUUCGGAGGGGAGAGAUCAUCCAUUGUGGGGGACAAAAGGAUGAAAGGGAGUGCGAUUGUGCUGGGUAAUUUAACGAAGUGUCGGUCGAGAUGGUGGGAUUCGGGGAAUUGCGAUGCGUGGCCACCGUAAUGAAAGGAGGGAUAGCGAGGGGACAGAAAGAUGUAAGUAAGGGAGGAAGAGAUCUUCGUAUAAGAUUUGUUAGUUAAUCUUCUCGAUGAGACUAGAUUAGUAAUGUAGCUUCCAGUUUUUUUUAAAUAAUAAGUUGGACGAAAUGUUUCUCUCGUAUAACAAUUCGAUCGCCAAUUACAAUAUUUAACGUAUUAUAAUUUAAUUAUAAAUCUUUUUACUUCUUAUUCGAACGAGAGAAAAUUUCACCGGUCCAGCAAUUUUUUCGAAACUUUUUCGAGAUCGUUCGAAGUUGAGGAAAACGGAAGAUUAAUUGUACAAUUAUGCGCAAAUCUUUAUAAUUCUCAUAACACCGCUCGUUUAGGAGUGAAAUUCAUCGUGCGCGCGAAUUUCCAUUGGAUUUCAAUUGGUUCUAAAAAAGACAGGACUCGAGUAGGAAGCGGCGGAGUUAAAUCCGGAUGUUUUCCAGGCCCGAUUGUAUAAGUCGCGGAAAAAGGAACAGCGGAGGGCGAGUAGGGCAAUAAAAUUGAUCACCUCGAAAUCCGCAUGAUAGGAAGAAAAGAAGAGGGAGAGAGGGAGAGGGGGAAAAGGAGGGGAGGGUAGGAACGCAUUAAAGUGCUUUGCGCUCGGUCGAGCUACGAAUUUCAAUCUGGAGCCUCGAAACGAUCGACCCUCCAGACAGAAUAGACCUGGAUAAAAGAGAGAUUAUCGGUUCGUACCCUUUUGAAAACUGGAGAUACCGAACUUUUCAUAUCUCUAGAAUGUGAUGAGCUAGUGACCCUGUUAAAUGCCUGUGAUCAGGGCGGGAAAUUCAUUCAAAAUUAAACUAACCCCCGCCCUUAAAAGCGAGUAACUUCCAUAACAUCUCCCCUCCUCGUCCAACGCGAAAGAACAUCGUCUCUGGCUCGAAGCUUUCGACAAGCUUUAUCCAUUCCGACGAUCUAUUAUCUUGUUAUUUAUUUAAUUAUUAUAAAAUCAUCAAAUUUUACUUUCGAUUUUGAAAUUCCAAACUCCCAAUUAUUACAUUUAUACUUAUCCUUAAACGAAUGUUAGGUCUUAUUGUCUGCGUGAAAAUGGCUACAGAAACGUGAUUCCACAUCGAGAAAGAAAAAUUUUCGACGAAACGCUUUCGAAAAAAACGAACGCUAUUCGCAACGUGUAAAAACGAUACGAAGCAUCGGUUUUUCUGGUCGUCUUUACACCUCGUCUCGUUCGCCGGCGAUUCUUCCAGCAAACGAUAACAUUACAGCACAUGGGUUAACCCCGCCACCCCGCUCGUCCCAUAGUGUACCAGGGCCAUAAAUGCAGCCGUGAUCCCACGGUAUCUGUCACUGGAUGACGCGUACGAUCCCUGACUCCGUCUGCAGAAACCUUGAGGGACGUUGUACGGACACUGGACGCCACUUACGACGCGCAAACAUACCCUCCCCUCGCGGCCCCGACCCCUUUUCCACGAUCUUGCUCUACACACACAGCUCGAAGGCUCGUAGCCGGUGAAGAGAAAGUGGACACGUUAGGCAGGAAGACGGAAGAAGAGGGCCGGAUGUUUCAGUGGAAGGUUGCGAAGGUCCUCGGGGGUUGGACUGUGUCCACAAGGGUGCCACUGGUGAACCGGUCCGGGGAGGGGGAGGUGUUCCAGAGUACACACCCGGUAUAAGUAACGAGCCGUCGCUUUGAAUGACCUGACCGCGUAUAAAAUGCAUGGGAUUUCGCUCUAAUGCCAGCCGGGGAGUUUGCCAGGGAGCGUAUUUAGUCCCGAAAGAUGAAUGUAACAGGUCUCUUUUGAGCCCGCCCACCGGGAAAGGAAAUGGGGGAGAGACGAAAGUACCCAAAGGAUGUACAUGUAGUCGUGGUCCUUGCUCUAUUCGGAAUCACAAAUUGGUCUUUCGGGAGAUCUGGCCGCCUGUCACGUGAUCCUUGCCGAUCCUUACAAGCCUUUAAUGCUUUGACCUCGAGAUUUGGCCUCGAGGCUGGGGCCUCGAGAAACGGGCCAAGUGUUCGACCAUUUUCCUCUCGUCGCGAAGAAUCGAACGAGCGAGCGAUCGAUCGUCUUUAAAAUGAAUAUCUCGUCAUCAUAUUGUUAUCCACUAAUUAUUUUUCUUUCUCAAUUUGCAUAUUUUAACAAAGCGUUUGUCCAAAUAAUAAACCGAUUUUUUCUCCAAGUUUCUCCUGGAACGGAAAGCGUAUCGAAUCGUAUAUUCGAUGAAUCAUAGGAGGAAAAUACGGCAAAUCCUGUUCAAAUUCGAAAACGUUUCGCGAGGAUCGGUAAAGGAGCCUAGAUACGUGGGAACGACCAUCGACGAGUCGAGUCUAGUUGGGUAGACCAACCCUCUCAUCCCCCUUCGACGAAGAAAACAAAACGACUUGGGUGAAAAGAAGGUACGUGGAUGCUUGCGAGGGCACGGAGGUGGAGAUGAUACUAGACGAGGAGACGAACAGGGAGGGAGGGAGGGGUGAACGUGGAGGAGCUGAACACCCUGGGGAGCCGGCAGCUCGUUACGCGAGACGUGGUACGCCUCUCCUUUCCUCCCUUCUGUACACCCUCUUCCCCCUUCCGCCGCCCUAUUCUCCUUUUCUCUCCGCUCCCUUCCCCGUGAUUCUCUCCUCAAACCUUGAUCCUUUUGCACAUCUAUCUCUACGCUCCUCCCUCGCCCCACGUUUUCAAGGUAGCGCCACUCUGAAUAAUGUCCCACGUACACGUUUGUGUCUUCCCUCCCUUCCUCCCUCUCUCUCUCUAUAUAUAUAUACACGCACGUAUCGCUACUCAGUAACAAGUGGAUAUUAUGCUGGCGCGGCUGCCUCCCUGAACUUUGCUUUGAAGCGAGGGAUACCGAUGAGAAGACACGGAAGACACGAGAAGCUUGUUCGAAUUGGUUUCUAAGCUUUCCAAUUGAGCACAAUCUCACGAUCUCUCCUCUAAUUGAUUGUACAAUAUACGUCAUAAUAAUAGAAUUUACAAGAAUUUUGAGUGAAAAAAAAAUCACUCGUGGGAUGCACUCGAAUGCAACAACCGAAUGAACGAAACGUCUUUAUGAAAGUUACUAGCAUAGAGAUGCAUAGAUGUUUCAAACUUCUUCGAACAAAGAGGAGCGAUAACAAUUCGAGAGAUAUUUCACCCUUAACAUUUCCCUUCCUCCUCUCCAUCAACAUUAAUUUAUCCUGUUUAUCCUGAAACUUGUUGUGUCUACUGUCUUUACGUUUCGGAAUAAGUUAACCGUUCGUUGUCAGAACUUUUCGCAUAAGCGUAAUCAAGUUGCCGCUUUCGAAACGAGAUAAAUUCACGCACAACUGAUGAAUAACGGUCAAUUAAAUGAUUUCAAUUAUUAUAAAUCAAUCAUACCUUGUGAUGUGCCUGACCUAUCUGCAUAACGUAUAUUUUUUUAUAAAAAAAAAGAAUACUAGUUUUGCAAUACUCUCAGUCAGUUUAGAUUUAAUCGCUUUCGAUAUUCUUUUCAUACUCAUCUUAUUGUCUUUCUUCAGACGUACGUGCAUUCAACGCGAUAGACAAUGCGAGACCAAAGAAGAAGAUGUACGUAUAUAAAGAAUAGCAACCGAUGAGGAAAGAAAAAAAAAA